UGCUUCUUGAAAAUGGCUAUCUACAGGCCCAGUGUGUGCUUGGCAUAUAUUCAGGAAGACAGAGGAAGGUUCUCUGACUGCACGAUAUAGAGUUGCCCAAGAUGGCCUCUCUGUUCCUAGGAGUGCGACAGGA
rnacentral:snoRNA from 1 species